AUCUUGUUCAGCACUCACUGCUGGGUGGAACCUUUCUGCCUCCCUUUGGUUCCCUGGGGAAUGUUUUGAUCAGCAGGAUUACAAGACCACUCCUUCUUCCUGUCUUAGAAAGAAAGCCUUUUCCUGUAUCUCAGAUGCCACAUGUUAGCUGUCUGCAUAGGAUUUCAUGGAAGAUGUCUGCAGAAAAUCCCUAAAGCUUAAAGUUUGUACCCCCCUUGGCAAGUGGAUCGAGUUUUCACGGUGCUAUGGUGCUAUGGUGCUUACGAUAUUCAUUUUUACGGUGCUUAAGGAGAUAAAGAAAAUAAUAUUCAACCCUGCUGCGCACCUUUGUUCCGAAAGAAUAAAACUACUGCACCCGUCA